rnacentral:rRNA from 1 species
GUGUCAGCAGCCGCGGUAAUACAGAGGUCCCAAGCGUUGUUCGGAUUCACUGGGCGUAAAGGGUGCGUAGGAGGCCAGGUAAGUCUGAUGUGAAAUCUCGAAGCCUAACUUCGAAACUGCAUUGGAUACUAUCUGGCUUGAGGAAUGGAGGGGAGACUGGAAUGCUCGGUGUAGCAGUGAAAUGCGUAGAUAUUGAGCGGAACACCAGUGGCGAAGGCGAGUCUCUGGACAUUUCCUGACGCUGAGGCACGAAAGCCAGGGGAGCAAACGGGAUUAGAAACCCCCGUAGUCC